UACGUAGGGGGCGAGCGUUGUCCGGAGUUACUGGGCGUAAAGCGCACGCAGGCGGUCUGUUAAGUUUGGUGUGACAGUUGGUGGCUUAACUGCCAAAGUGCUUCGAAAACUGACAGACUUGAGGGCUUCAGAGGGACACGGAAUUCCGGGUGGAGUGGUGAAAUGCUUAGAGAUUACAUGGAAUACCAAUUGCGAAGGCAGGUUACUACUAAUAUAUUGACGCUGAUGGACGAAAGCGUGGGGAGCGAACAGG
rnacentral:rRNA from 1 species